GCGUUGUCCGGAAUUAUUGGGCGUAAAGAGCGUGUAGGCGGUCUGGUAAGUCUGCCGUGAAAACCCAGGGCUUAACCCUGGGCGUGCGGUGGAAACUGCCAGGCUAGAGGAUGGUAGAGGCGAGUGGAAUUCCGAGUGUAGCGGUGAAAUGCGCAGAUAUUCGGAGGAACACCAGUAGCGAAGGCGGCUCGCUGGGCCAUACCUGACGCUGAGACGCGAAAGCGUG
rnacentral:rRNA from 1 species